rnacentral:rRNA from 1 species
AUUGAACGCUGGCGGCAUGCCUUACACAUGCAAGUCGAACGGUAACAGGUCUUCGGAUUCCGACGAGUGGCGGCCGGGUGCGUAAUAGUUAGGAAUGUGCCCGAUCCUGGUGGGUAGCGGGGCGCAAGCUUUGCUAAUUCCGCAUACGACCUAAGAAUGAUAACGGGGGAUCUUCGGACCUCGUGCGGCCUGAGCGGCCGAUGGCGGCUUAGGUAGGUGGUGGGAUAAAGGCGUACCAAGCCGACGAUCUGUAGCUGGUCUGAGAGGAUGAUCAGCCACACUGGAACUGAGACACGGCCCAGACUCCUACGGGAGGCAGCAGUGGGGAAUUUUGGACAAUGGGCGCAGGCCUGAUCCAGCCAUCCCGCGUGGAGGAGGAAGGCCUUCGGGUUGUAAACUCCGUUUGUAGGGAACGAAAAGCCUCAGUCUAGUAAAGAGCGGUAGUGACGGUACCGAAAGAAUAAGCACCGGCUAACUACGUG